AGAGUUUGAUCAUGGCUCAGGAUGAACGCUAGCGGCAGGCCUAACACAUGCAAGUCGAACGGUAACAUGAGAGCUUGCUCUUGAUGACGAGUGGCGCACGGGUGCGUAACGCGUAUGCAACCUACCUUUUACUGAGGGAUAGCCCAGAGAAAUUUGGAUUAAUACCUCAUAGUAUCAUAAAUGUUCAUGCAUUAAUGAUUAAAACUUCGGUGGUAAAAGAUGGGCAUGCGUAAGAUUAGCUAGUUGGUAAGGUAACGGCUUACCAAGGCGACGAUCUUUAGGGGGCCUGAGAGGGUGGUCCCCCACACUGGUACUGAGACACGGACCAGACUCCUACGGGAGGCAGCAGUGAGGAAUAUUGGUCAAUGGACGAAAGUCUGAACCAGCCAUGCCGCGUGCAGGAAGACGGCCCUAUGGGUUGUAAACUGCUUUUAUAUAGGAAGAAACUUCUCUACGUGUAGAGAGCUGACGGGUACUAUAUGAAUA
rnacentral:rRNA from 1 species